rnacentral:rRNA from 1 species
GAGCAACGCCGCGUGAGGGACGAAGGCCUCUGGGCUGUAAACCUCUUUUCUCAAGGAAGAAGACAUGACGGUACUUGAGGAAUAAGCCACGGCUAAUUCCGUGCCAGCAGCCGCGGUAAUACGGGAGUGGCAAGCGUUAUCCGGAAUUAUUGGGCGUAAAGCGUCCGCAGGCGGCCUUGAAAGUCUGUUGUUAAGGCGUGGAGCUCAACUCCAUUUAAGCAAUGGAAACUACAAGGCUAGAGUGUGGUAGGGGCAGAGGGAAUUCCCGGUGUAGCGGUGAAAUGCGUAGAUAUCGGGAAGAACACCAGUGGCGAAGGCGCUCUGCUGGGCCAUAACUGACGCUCAUGGACGAAAGCCAGGGGAGCGAAAGGGAUUAGAUACCCCUGUAGUCCUGGCCGUAAACGAUGAACACUAGGUGUCGGGAGAAUUAACCCUUCCGGUGUCGUAGCCAACGCGUUAAGUGUUCCGCCUGGGGAGUACGCACGCAAGUGUGAAACUCAAAGGAAUUGACGGGGGCCCGCACAAGCGGUGGAGUAUGUGGUUUAAUUCGAUGCAACGCGAAGAACCUUACCAGGGUUUGACAUCCUGCGAAUCCCUUGGAAACGAGGGAGUGCCUUCGGGAACGCAGUGACAGGUGGUGCAUGGCUGUCGUCAGCUCGUGUCGUGAGAUGUUGGGUUAAGUCCCGCAACGAGCGCAACCCACGUCUUUAGUUGCCAGCAUUCAGUUGGGCACUCUAGAGAGACCGCCGGUGAUAAACCGGAGGAAGGUGUGGAUGACGUCAAGUCAUCAUGCCCCUUACAUCCUGGGCUACACACGUACUACAAUGCUACGGACAAAGGGCAGCAAACUCGCGAGAGCUAGCAAAUCCCAUAAACCGUGGCUCAGUUCAGAUCGUAGGCUGCAACUCGCCUACGUGAAGGAGGAAUCGCUAGUAAUCGCAGGUCAGCAUACUGCGGUGAAUACGUUCCCGGGCCUUGUACACACCGCCCGUCACACCAUGGAAGUUGGCCAUGCCCGAAGUCGUUACUCCAACCCGUAAGGGAGGAGGACGCCGAAGGUGGGGCUGAUGACUGGGGUGAAGUCGUAACAAGGUAGCCGUACCGGAAGGUG